rnacentral:rRNA from 1 species
GACGAAGGGGGCUAGCGUUGCUCGGAAUUACUGGGCGUAAAGCGCACGUAGGCGGCUUUCUAAGUCGGGGGUGAAAUCCUGGAGCUCAACUCCAGAACUGCCUUCGAUACUGGAAAGCUCGAGUCCGGGAGAGGUGAGUGGAACUGCGAGUGUAGAGGUGAAAUUCGUAGAUAUUCGCAAGAACACCAGUGGCGAAGGCGGCUCACUGGCCCGGUACUGACGCUGAGGUGCGAAAGCGUGGGGAGCAAACAGG